UUUUUGAUUAAUAAUUUAAAGUCUAAUCUGCCCACUGAUAAUAUAUUAAAGGGCUGCAGUAUUUUGACUGUACAAAGGUAGCAUAAUCAUUAGUCUCUUAAUUGGUGACUUGUAUGAAAGAUUUGAUGAAAUAUAUACUGUCUCUAAUUAAUUUGUAAAAUUUAAUUUUUUAGUUAAAAAGCUAAAAUAAAUUUAAAAGACGAGAAGACCCUAUAGAGUUUAAUAUUUAUAUGAAUUGAGAUUUUAUAUAAAAAUUAUAAUUUUAAUAAUAUAUAAAUAUUUUGUUGGGGUGAUAAAAAAAUUAAAAUAACUUUUUUUUAUAAUUUUACAUUUAUAAAUGAAUAAAUGAUCCAUAAUUUAUGAUUAUAAGAAAAAAUUACCUUAGGGAUAACAGCGUAAUUUUUUUUUUUAGUUCAAAUAAGAAAAAGAGUUUGCGACCUCGAUGUUGGAUUAAGAUAAAAUUUAAAUGCAAAAGUUUAAAAUUUUUGAUCUGUUCGAUCAUUAAAAUCUUACA
rnacentral:rRNA from 1 species